GUCAGAGGAGAAAACACUUCGUCUUGAUCUGAGAGCAGGACUGAGAGGAACACAGAGCAGCUUCUUCUCUCCUCAAGUUUCUUCACUCAUGGAAAAGAGUCUGUAAGAAGACGUGAAGAGAGUUCAGAAUAAAGGUCAGACUCUUUCAACAUUGGUUCCUGACUGAACUUUGUCUCGCCUCAAAUGUGGAACAUGUUUUAUCAAUCUGUGGAGCAGAAAAUGGACAAACAGCAGGUGAAAUGAUUUUUCCCAGAAACACUGGAGCAGUAGAAUUUAGUCUUUAUUAGUAGAGCUGCUCCACUCAGAAUGAAGUCACUGGAUUUGAACUGAAAGUUGAUGUUGUGUUAUUGUUAUCUGUGUGUGUGUGUGUGUGUGUGUGUGUGUGUGUGUGUGUGUGUGUGUGUGUGUGUGUGUGUGUGUGUGUGUGUGUGUGUGUGUGUGUGUG